rnacentral:tRNA from 1 species
AAAUCCAGGAUCAUCAAAGACCUAAUACGAAUUUGCAAUUCGACUGCUG